CGGGGUGCAGCAGGCGCGAAAACUUCGCAAUGCGGGAAACCGUGACAAGGGAACUCUGAGUGCCCGUUAAAUCGGGCUGUCCAUCGGUUUAAAUAACCGGUGAAGAAAGGGCCGGGCAAGACCGGUGCCAGCCGCCGCGGUAAUACCGGCGGCUCGAGUGGUGGCCACUAUUACUGGGCUUAAAGCGUUCGUAGCUGGUUUGUUAAGUCUCUGGGGAAAUCUUCCGGCUUAACCGGAAGGCGUCUCAGGGAUACUGGCAAACUAGGGACCGGGAGAGGUGAGAGGUACUCCAGGGGUGGGAGUGAAAUCCUGUAAUCCUUGGGGGACCACCUGUGGCGAAGGCGUCUCACCAGAACGGCUCCGACAGUGAGGGACGAAAGCUGGGGGAGCAAACCGGAUUAGAUACCCGGGUAGUCCCAGCUGUAGACGAUGCGCGUUAGGUGUAUCGGUGACCACGAGUCACCGAGGUGCCGAAGAGAAAUCGUGAAACGUGCCGCCUGGGAAGUACGGUCGCAAGGCUGAAACUUAAAGGAAUUGGCGGGGGAGCAC
rnacentral:rRNA from 1 species